UAGAGUGAUGGUUAAGCGUGUUUUCCAAAUUUCUAUCGCAUCUGCCCAUAGUGGCAAAAAAACGCCAACGUGUUAAUGCACUCGUAUCGUACACUCGACGCGACUAUUAUCUAUCCAUAAAACUCAAAGGAUUUCAAUUAAACGUUGAGGCCUUUGCAGAAACUUGGAAGAUUUAGCAAACCGUUCCUCGGAUUGUUGAGGCAGUAUUGCACCUAAAUGCUACAAACGAUAUAAGAAAAUCAAUUGUUAUUCUUCAAUUGUGUGGGCAUAAAAGUACAUAUUAUAUAUAAUGCGGGAUAAUCGGCCAGGGCUUAGGCCGACGGAAAACAUUGUAACAUUUGUCGAAUUCGUUUGUAUUGCCUGUACAUCCUCAUUUGUGUGUCGCAAAUAAAAAAUGAAAACAACCACCCAGCUGUCACCAUUUUCAGUAAUAUUGAAUAAAAAUUUGAGGUGUCAAAAAGUUAAACGGAGCUGGGGAGCCCGUCUGUCGAACAAAUUAAAAAAAUUUUUAUAAUAAUAAGAAAACCGAGUGUAGAUGACAAUGUUUGAUAAAAGCAAAGCAAAGCAAAAUACAAUAAAUACAUAAACGCAACGUAUUCGUACCUUUUGUAAAGGAA